AUUGAACGCUGGCGGCAUGCCUUACACAUGCAAGUCGAACGGCAGCACGGGAGCAAUCCUGGUGGCGAGUGGCGAACGGGUGCGUAACAUAUCGGAACGUGCCAAGUCGUGGGGGAUAACGUAGCGAAAGACACGCUAAUACUGCAUACGAUCUACGGCGGCAAGCGGGGGAUCGCAAGAUCGCGCGCGAUUGGAUCGGCCGAAAUGAGAUUAGGUUGGUGGAGGGGUAACGGCCUACCAAGCCGACGAUCUGUAGCUGCUCUGAGAGGACGACCAGCCACACAGGGAAUGAGACACGGCCCAGACUCCUACGGGAGGCAGCAGUGUGGAAUUUUGGACAAUGGGCGCAAGCAUGAUCCAGCAAUGCCGCGUGCAGGAUGAAGGCCUUCGGGUUGUAAACUGCUUUUGUACGGAGCGAAACAGCUCUCUCUAAUCCAGGGGGCGAAUGACGGUACCGUAAGAAUAAGCACCGGCUAACUGCGUGCCAGCAGCCGCCGUAA
rnacentral:rRNA from 1 species